GAUGAACGCUGGCGGCGUGCCUAAUACAUGCAAGUCGAGCGAACAGACGAGGAGCUUGCUCCUCUGACGUUAGCGGCGGACGGGUGAGUAACACGUGGAUAACCUACCUAUACGACUGGGAUAACUUCGGGAAACCGGAGCUAAUACCGGAUAAUAUAUUGAACCGCAUGGUUCAAUAGUGAAAGACGGUUUUGCUGUCACUUAUAGAUGGAUCCGCGCCGCAUUAGCUAGUUGGUAAGGUAACGGCUUACCAAGGCAACGAUGCGUAGCCGACCUGAGAGGAUGAUCGGCCGCACUGGAACUUGGACACUGUCCAGGAUACUACGGUAGGGAGCAGUAGGGAAUCUUACGCAAUGGGCGACGGCCUGACGGAGCAACAGCGCGUGAGUGAUGAAGGUCUUCGGAUCGUAAAACUCUGUUAUUAGUUAAGAACGAAUGUGUAAGUAACUAUGCACGUCUUGACGGUACCUAAUCAGAAAGCCCCGGCUAACUACGUG
rnacentral:rRNA from 1 species